UCCUUCAUAGCUCAGUCGCUAAAGAGUCUGCCUGCAAUGCAGGAAACCCAGGUUUGAUUCCUGGGACAGGAA
rnacentral:tRNA from 1 species